rnacentral:rRNA from 1 species
AGUGAACGCUGGCGGCGUGCCUAAUACAUGCAAGUCGAACGGAGUGGCGCACGGAUGAGUAAUGUAUAGCUAAUCUUCCCUACACUAGAGGACAACAGUUGGCAACGACUGCUAAUACUCUAUAGUGUAGGAUGAGGCUAUAUUGUAUCAGCUAGUUGGUGAGGUAAUGGCUCACCAAGGCUAUGACGCAUAACUGGUGUGAGAGGAUGAUGAGUCAAACUGGAACUGAGACACGGGCCAGGAUCCUACGAGAGGCAGCGGUAGGGAAAAUUGGUCAAGCGGGGAGAACCUGAAGCGGCAACGCCGCGUGGAGGAUGGUACUUGUCGGAGCGUAAACGACUUUUGUUAUGGAAGCGGUACCUAACGAAUAAGCACCGGCUAACUCCGUGCCAGCAGCCGCGGUAAUUC